UGCAGCAACGCCGCGUGAGGGACGACGGCCUUCGGGUUGUAAACCUCUUUUAGCAGGGAAGAAGCGAAAGUGACGGUACCUGCAGAAAAAGCACCGGCUAACUACGUGCCAGCAGCCGCGGUAAUACGUAGGGUGCAAGCGUUAUCCGGAAUUAUUGGGCGUAAAGAGCUCGUAGGCGGUUUGUCGCGUCUGCUGUGAAACCCCGAGGCUCAACCUCGGGCCUGCAGUGGGUACGGGCAGACUAGAGUGCGGUAGGGGAGAUUGGAAUUCCUGGUGUAGCGGUGGAAUGCGCAGAUAUCAGGAGGAACACCGAUGGCGAAGGCAGAUCUCUGGGCCGUAACUGACGCUGAGGAGCGAAAGGGUGGGGAGCAAACAGGCUUAGAUACCCUGGUAGUCCACCCCGUAAACGUUGGGAACUAGUUGUGGGGUCCAUUCCACGGAUUCCGUGACGCAGCUAACGCAUUAAGUUCCCCGCCUGGGGAGUACGGCCGCAAGGCUAAAACUCAAAGGAAUUGACGGGGACCCGCACAAGCGGCGGAGCAUGCGGAUUAAUUCGAUGCAACGCGAAGAACCUUACCAAGGCUUGACAUAUACGAGAACGCUGCAGAAAUGUAGAACUCUUUGGACA
rnacentral:rRNA from 1 species